UUUCGCUGUAAUCCGGUUCUGGUAAUUCGUUCUUUUUCUCCUUCAUCUUUGGAUUUUUUCCCUCCGGUUCCGAUUUAACCCUAGCCAUAUUUUAGAAUUCUCUUGCCGUGUCCUCUUUCACAUCUCUAAUGGCUUCCUUCAGUGCAAGAUAUCUUCUCUUCCUCUGCAUCGCCGCCUUAUUGUCGCUAAGUUUCGCGUCCGGGUCACCGUCGACUUGCCUUCGGGAAUCUUGUUGGUUUAUCUACGAUCUACAAUCUCAGUGCCCUCGCUCGAUCUCUCUAAAUCCACCGGUCGAGGUGGAUGGCAACUACCUUGACAGAGCUUUGACAUCCAAACAGAGGAAUGCUUAUGCCUCUCUACUCUUCUAUAGCUCCUGGUGUCCGUUUUCACGCCAAAUGCGCUUGAAAUUUGAAAAGCUCAGUUCCAUGUUUCCUCGGAUUGAACAUUUAGAAGUCGAAGAAUCUUCAUCCUUGCCAAGCAUAUUUUCAAGAUAUGGAAUCCAUAGCCUGCCUGCAAUAAUACUGGUAAACCAGACAUCAAAGAUUCAAUACCGUGGUUCAAAAAAUCUGCUAUCGCUUGUACAAUUUUAUGAAAGAACCACAGGACUGAAGACAGUUCAAUAUUUUACUGAAGAUGAGCCAGCUAGUUUCGGGGAUGAUGAACAAUUCAUCAUGCAACCAUGGAUUAGCUCCUCCUUGGGGGAUAUGAUAAAAAGGGAGCCCUACCUAGUACUGGCUACAUUGUUCAUCUUCUUGAGGGUGCUUCUGUAUAUUUUCCCAAAAGUGGCAUCACUUCUCAAAGCUUUCCGCAUCCGCAUCUACUAUGCUCUGCUCUCAUAUGUUCUGCAUUUGGAAUUUGGAAUAUUUGGUGAUGAGACCAGUCAAUUGUUUGGUCGCGUUCUUCACAUGAUUGAUGUGAGAAGGAUUUGGACCAAGCUCAGAUUAUGCAAGAUUAGGAACUUCCAUCAAGGUGCAAAGAAUGCACGGGUCUGGGCAUCGUCCCUUGCAUCCGUUUCUUUGGGUGAAUCUUCAUCAAUUAGAUCAUCAUCCUAGAGUGCAACUCUGUUUCUUCAGGGAUUCAGGUUGACAGUAUUAAGGAGCUUACUUAUCUGAUGAAAUAUAUCACGAACUGCUCUAAUGCACCCGGACAGAUAUAGUGGAUGUUUCUAGAUAAUUGUGAUGAGGAGUUGAAUACCAGCAGAGCUGAAGCUAUUCAAACCUCGAAGGUUGCAAAAGCCCAUACUUGAACAUUGGGGAAUAUGAUUGGAAUCUUGGUAGAUUGCUUAUUUUCAAGGGGUCUUUGUGGCGGAAAACUUCAUAGAGGAAGGCCAAAACUGUGUAUACACACUACUGGAUUGGUUGGUUGAAACCCUAUAGCAGUUUCUUGCAAGCCAAACACAAACAUAGCUCACACACAUUUGAAACUAUAAGCAAGAGUAGUUGUCUUUCAAGAGAAGCCUCAAAUGGUAGUAAGCAAAACGAUGGUACGUCAUAUAUUUUGCUUUCGGCAAAAUGUUUGAAACCUUCAAUUUAUGACACUUAUUUUAUCCGUUACACAUAUGUUGAAGUGUUGAAUGUUAAUGGGUGCUACAUGUAAAAUCAUAAAUUGAGGCUAUGUAGGAUUGCUUAUAGAAAGCGAGUGCCACUUGGCAAUA